UUCAGAAGCUUCAGUCUGUGGCUGCCUGGU
rnacentral:piRNA from 1 species